rnacentral:misc_RNA from 1 species
UCUGGAAUGCCGAGUAAGUCAGAUGAUUGGCCGAAAGGCUUCAGAAGUCGCCCGCACUUUCCACGCUCGAUCAUUGACUACGCCAUCAGCUAUCAGCCGGCAGCGUUUUGCUGGGCUGAUAGCUGACGGCUGAUGGCUGAAGGUUGCAGUUCAGCUCUUUGACAACUGACGUUCGUGUGAUGUGUGGUGUUCGAGGAAUCACACCGAGAACUACG